CUUUCAUUGUACUGAACAGAUUACAAACGUACACAAGUUGUUGUUUUUUUUUUAAGGGCUGAUUGUUUUAGAAGAGUUGUCAUUAUUAUUUUAAUGAUGCACUGAGUUUGGAAUCACAUUGUUUUAAUCACGCUUUAAAGAACGAAAUAAAAUCAUACUUGCAAAGCGUAAUAUGACAAAAAUAUUAUUAAUAAGAAAUUAUUUUUUUAUUAAAGUAAAAAUGGACAUAUCAAAAUACAUGCUAUUGGUUGAUGCACAAAUUCAAUAAAUUGUGACAGUUCUGAGUUUUGACGCUUUCAAUGACUAGAGAAAAACGUGAUCUACUAAUCACUAAUCUAUGCCGAUCAGAUGGAAAUUCUAAGACAUAUAUUUAUUUGAGCAUGUCAUAGUCAAUUAAUUUUGUAUUGAAAUUGAAGCACAAAUAUGACACUUAGCUUAAACACACCCCAGUCAAAUGGAAAAUGUCACUACAAUUUGAGGUAUGUAUUUUUAAGUGAAUUUCUUUCACUUGUUCUUGAUUUGUUGAUUUUGAAACAAACUUUAAUGAACCUAAAAUGAAUCAAUAACAGAUUUAUUUAGUUACAGUUAUUUUGUACAUAUUAUCCAAGACAUGGAGUAUUAAUUCCUCUCAAAUUGUCAUUUUGAGAUUAUGCUACAAAAACAAAGAGUUUUAAUACAUCAAAAAAUUCUGCAGCACAUCCUUUUUCCCCUAUUCUAGUCUGGAAGGCUGUUAUUGUUUUUCAUUUACAAAUCAUUUGCAUUUUUAUUGCUUGAAGUCUUGCGUUUUGUGCAGUGAAAGUCAGAAGGGAAAUAUCAGCUGUAUGAACAGAGCUAGACAAACUUUUUUGUGAAUCUUUGAACGUUAAAAAAAAAUUACCUAAAGAGAACCGUGACGGAUUCUAAUCUUUCCGGUUCUGUUCAGGGUCGCUGAGCAAAGGAAGCAGAAAGUCUGAAAGCGCAGAGUGUGUAGUGUCUGACAUUUUUCCUCUUGAACAAAGAAGGUCAAUACUUUCAGCCAGAAUUAUCAGAGCAAAAGUAAAAGUUUUUGUUGAGUAAGAAAAGAGAAGUUGUCGAUUUGGGAAACUGGCUGAGUUGUUUCUUUGGUGAAUCUUUAAUAUUUCACCUCCGCUGUACGGAUUUACGUCUAAAUAGAUGUUAGCAGACAACAUAUGUUUAUUUUUUUUCUCUUUCUUCUUUUAUGGUUUGCCCAACUUAUUUAACUAAACACACAGGCAUGAUGCCAUUUUGGAGUUCUACUAAUAUUUUCCUAAAGUCACUAAAAUAUUAACACUGUUAAGACUCACCUAAGCUCUGUUUUUGUGGAGUUAUUUAAGCUGCAAAACUCUUCAUUGCUUUACCCUUUGUACCUUAACAGGGACAAUAUUAAAGAGGUAAAAAUAAUAAGCUAAAUAAAACGUGCACAAAGUUAAUUUUAUAUUCCUGAUCUAAAACUGCUGCUCCACACACACCUUUGCACUGGUCUUCUCAUUUUGAUAGCGUGAAGAGAUGCGGGACAGUGUGACCACAUCUAUUUAAAGUGAGUGAACAGUGCUGAGGUCCAAUUAUAUGUAACUGGCUGAGCAGUGUUUUUGAGAUGGGUGUUUGCCCUGGGCAGCGUUGGAACGGGGCGGCAUGCAUGCCAAGAGAAGAAAGAGACUUUUUAACUACUCUGUUCUACUAUAAAUAAACUUUGUUUUCCGUUUCUUACCUGAGCUGUCAUUAAGAAAUGGGCUAUGCUAAUUGUGCUAACUCAGCACAGAACAAAACACCUCCAGUCGGUGUGACCUCAACAUGUCAGCAUAGUUGUUUUCUUUAUUUCAACAAUUGUACAACUGUUUUGGAAAAUAAUCUCAUCUUUGCAACAUUCCUAAAGAAUAUGUAUAUUUACAUUUUAAUGAAUUUACAGAACAUUUUUAUUUUGAAACUUCCUGCCUCAUGGAAGACAGAUUUUGUCCAGAAUGCUGAACUAAUACAGAUAAUGACAUCUGGCCACCUAUUUAAUCCACCUGUUACUUUAAAUUGAGAGGUUUAGUCCUUGACAAAAAAAAAAUAUUUUUUUAUGUUGUAAAACUAAACCAAAGAAAAUAUCUUAACAUGCAACCCUAAUAAAAUGUAGCAGGAAACUUCAAGUUUCGGCCUACAGCUGAAUGACUCCCCUCAGCAGCUGUUAAAUUGAAAGACCGAAGACAAAGCGGCUGUGUGUGUGUGUGCGUGUGUGUGUGUGUGGGUGUGUGGGUGUGGGUGUGUGUGUGUUAGUCGUGUCGUACUUUAUGCUGUUUUCCUGGGAGUCAGCAGUUUGCCUGUGUGUCAUCAGGGCGCCGCACAAACUCAUGAUCUCGCAACUCAUGCUCUUCCCCCCCCCCCCGUGUUUUUUCCCGUCGUGUUUGCUGUAACGCACAUCCGCAUGUUCAGCUGCACAGAAACGCUUCUUCACAAUACUUUUCACCAUAACCAUGUUUUUUUUCUUAGUUUUAAUGCAUCUUCUGUGUUUUGUUUGUUUCUCACGUUGUGGCUCUCUUCUUCUACACCUAAUCUGUCAGAUUAAGUCAAACCAAAUUUCCACCCUCGUCUUUAGAGACUUUUUUUUCCUCCUGACUUCUGUGUUGUUUUCCUCAUUUUGUCUGUUUUAUCUCUCACUUCUCUUACCUUUCUCAUAAUCUUGUUUUUUUUUUUUCCUUUCUGUUUGUCCUCCAACUCUCCUCUGCACAGCUUCUUCAGCUUCUGUUCUUUUUCUUAAACUUUCAUUUGUCUUUCUGGCAUGUGACUGCUGCCCCCUACAGUUUCAACUGAACACUGCAGGGACAUAAUCAACAAGCAGUUAGACCCAAGAAUACCAUCAGCCCAAUCUUAACCACCUUUAUGAAGAUGGAGCAACCUGACAUGCUUUUGUCAGGUGACGCUCGUUAAAGUAAAGUUUUGGACCUCAUUGACUAAAACAAAGAUGUACAAUUGAAGUAGGAUGCAGUGGAUUUAUUUUAAAAUAUUUGCGUUGAAAUUUUGAAAACUAAUGGAUUUGAAAUUCAUAUGCACCUUUUUCUGUAUGUCUUUGAUUGAUUUCUAAUGACUAUUUUGACUGGAAAAUUUCUGCACUUUAUGAAAUAUCAAUGCAAAUGUCAUAAUUCUGCCGAGUGCUUCUCUACCUCCAAGUCUGAUUUCUUUU